GAUGAACGCUAGCGGGAGGCCUAACACAUGCAAGCCGAGCGGUAGAGAUUCUUCGGAAUCUUGAGAGCGGCGUACGGGUGCGGAACACGUGUGCAACCUGCCUUUAUCAGGGGGAUAGCCUUUCGAAAGGAAGAUUAAUACCCCAUAAUAUAUUUGAUGGCAUCAUUAGAUAUUGAAAGCUUUGGCGGAUAGAGAUGGGCACGCGCAAGAUUAGAUAGUUGGUGAGGUAACGGCUCACCAAGUCGAUGAUCUUUAGGGGGCCUGAGAGGGUGAUCCCCCACACUGGUACUGAGCCACGGACCAGACUCCUACGGGAGGCAGCAGUGAGGAAGAUUGGACAAUGGGUUAGCGCCUGAUCCAGCCAUCCCGCGUGAAGGACGACGGCCCUAUGGGUUGUAAACUUCUUUUGUACAGGGAUAAACCUACUCUCGUGAGAGUAGCUGAAGGUACUGUACGAAUAAGCACCGGCUAACUCCGUG
rnacentral:rRNA from 1 species